rnacentral:rRNA from 1 species
AUUGAACGCUGGCGGCAGGCUUAACACAUGCAAGUCGAGCGGGGUGAUGGUGCUUGCACUAUCACCUAGCGGCGGACGGGUGAGUAAUGCUUAGGAAUCUGCCUAUUAGUGGGGGACAACAUUUCGAAAGGAAUGCUAAUACCGCAUACGUCCUACGGGAGAAAGCAGGGGAUCUUCGGACCUUGCGCUAAUAGAUGAGCCUAAGUCGGAUUAGCUAGUUGGUGGGGUAAAGGCCUACCAAGGCGACGAUCUGUAGCGGGUCUGAGAGGAUGAUCCGCCACACUGGGACUGAGACACGGCCCAGACUCCUACGGGAGGCAGCAGUGGGGAAUAUUGGACAAUGGGCGCAAGCCUGAUCCAGCCAUGCCGCGUGUGUGAAGAAGGCCUUAUGGUUGUAAAGCACUUUAAGCGAGGAGGAGGCUACUUUAGAUAAUACCUAGAGAUAGUGGACGUUACUCGCAGAAUAAGCACCGGCUAACUCUGUGCCAGCCGCCGCGGUAA